UAUGUGUGUUUUUAAUGAGUAUGGGAACAGGUGCUUGGUACAAGAACAUGAUUGUCAAGCAAUCUGUGUUGUAGUUAUUUUAAGUAAUGACACAACUUUUCUAUAGGCCCGGAUAUCCCAUCUUCCACUGUUUCCUUGGAUCAGUUUUCAUUGCUCCUUCUCUGAUGUGGUUUCCUCAGCAUAAGAGAGAAGUUUACUAAGUAUUCAAGAUAGAACCAUGCCCAAGGAUUUUUAAGGGAAGCAACUGGACCACACUGGCCAAAAAGGUAUACUACUAUUAAGAAAUCUGGAUAUGAAAUAGCCAAACUGAGGUUGGAUGACUGUUCUGUUAAAACAAGGAUCCCCAGACUGACGGUUCAGCAAGAAGGGAACAUUUACAUCACUGUCAUAGGAAAGUCAAUGCUGGGUCUGACUGUAUGGAAGAAAACAAAAAGUCUUCUCCCUAAGUUCAUUCCGGGGACUCAGGAGGAAGCCUACGGGAGCCACCCAUUCAGUUCAGCGAGACCCAGGAAGAGAGCAAAGCACUUCUGCGGCCAAGGAAAUGAGACAGUGUAA